rnacentral:rRNA from 1 species
CCUACGGGAGGCAGCAGUGAGGAAUAUUGGUCAAUGGACGGAAGCCUGAACCAGCCAUGCCGCGUGCAGGAAGACGGCUCUCUGAGUUGUAAACUGCUUUUGUACAAGGGUAAACCUGAAUACGUGUAUUCAGCUGAAAGUACUGUACGAAUAAGGAUCGGCUAACUCCGUGCCAGCAGCCGCGGUAAUACGGAGGAUCCAAGCGUUAUCCGGAUUUAUUGGGUUUAAAGGGUGCGUAGGCGGAUUGAUAAGUUAGAGGUGAAAUGUCCGAGCUUAACUCGGGAACUGCCUCUAAUACUGUUGAUCUAGAGAGUAGGUGAGGUAGGCGGAAUGUAUGGUGUAGCGGUGAAAUGCUUAGAGAUCAUAAAGAACACCGAUUGCGAAGGCAGCUUACCAAUCUAUAUCUGACGUUGAGGCACGAAAGCGUGGGGAGCAAACAGGAUUAGAUACCCUUGUAGUC